GGAUGUGAGGGUGAUCUGGCUGCGGCAUCUGUCACCCCAUUGAUACCAGUGUUGAUCUGGCUGAUCUGGCUCACUGGGCAGGUGUCCCCUUCCUCCCUCACUUCCUCAUAAGUGUCCCUCCCUAAGCUGUGCCCUUGGUCAAGGAGGACAACCGUCCCCGCUGGAGGGGAACUAUUCUUUGGUCAAGGGUGUAUGUGUGGCUGUGCUCCCCUGCUGGAACCUCUAAACAAGCUCUCAAAUGUCUCACCAUUCUUAUUACCAUAAGGCCUGAUUCUUCCCAUGUUGUUACACUACUUCUGAAAGCUCACCUCCACUGCCUGCUACACAAA
ensembl:misc_RNA 7SK 7SK RNA